GAUGAACGCUGGCGGCGUGCCUAAUACAUGCAAGUCGAGCGAACAGACGAGGAGCUUUCUCCUCUGACGUUAGCGGCGGACGGGUGAGUAACACGUGGAUAACCUACCUAUAAGACUUGGAUAACUUCGGGAAACCGGAGCUAAUACCGGAUAAUAUAUUGAACCGCAUGGUUCAAUAGUGAAAGACGGUUUUGCUGUCACUUAUAGAUGGAUCCGCGCCGCAUUAGCUAGUUGGUAAGGUAACGGCUUACCAAGGCAACGAUGCGUAGCCGACCUGAGAGGAUGAUCGGCCACACUGGAACUGAGACACGGUCCAGACUCCUACGGGAGGCAGCAGUAGGGAAUCUUCCGCAAUGGGCGAAAGCCUGACGGAGCAACGCCGCGUGAGUGAUGAAGGUCUUCGGAUCGUAAAACUCUGUUAUUAGGGAAGAAAAAAUGUGUAAGUAACUAUGCACGUCUUGACGGUACCUAAUCAGAAAGCAACGGCUAACUACGUG
rnacentral:rRNA from 1 species